rnacentral:rRNA from 1 species
AGUUCGGAUUGCAGCCUGCAACUCGGCUGCAUGAAGCUGGAAUCGCUAGUAAUCGCGGAUCAGAAUGCCGCGGUGAAUACGUUCCCGGGUCUUGUACACACCGCCCGUCACACCAUGGGAGUAGGUAAUGCCCGAAGUCGGUGACCUAACCGGAAGGAAGGAGCCGCCGAAGGCAGGACUUAUAACUGGGGUGAAGUCGUAACAAGGUAGC